rnacentral:rRNA from 1 species
UACGAGGGGGGCGAGCGUUGUUCGGAAUUAUUGGGCGUAAAGGGUGCGUAGGCGGUUUGGUAAGUCUCUUGUGAAAUCUCUGGGCUCAACUCAGAGUCUGCAAGGGAAACUGCCGGGCUUGAGUAUGGGAGAGGUGAGUGGAAUUCCUGGUGUAGCGGUGAAAUGCGUAGAUAUCAGGAGGAACACCUGUGGCGAAAGCGGCUCACUGGACCAUAACUGACGCUGAUGCACGAAAGCUAGGGGAGCAAACAGG